AGGAUUAACGCUGGCGGCGUGCAUGAGACAUGCAAGUCAAACGGGUGACCAGGGCUUGCUCUGGUUGCUAGUGGCGGACGGCUGAGUAACGCGUAGGUGACCUGCCCCGAAGUGGGGAAUAACUGCCCGAAAGGGUGGCUAAUACCGCAUGUGGUGGUGCGUUCAUUCGCAUCAGUAAAGCCGCAAGGCGCUUCGGGAGGGGCCUGCGUCCGAUUAGCUCGUUGGUGGGGUAACGGCUCACCAAGGCGACGAUCGGUAGGUGGUCUGAGAGGACGAUCACCCAGACUGGGACUGAGACACGGCCCAGACUCCUACGGGAGGCAGCAGUCGGGAAUUUUGCCCAAUGGACGAAAGUCUGAGGCAGCAACGCCGCGUGAGGGAUGAAGGCCUUCGGGUUGUAAACCUCUUUUCUCAGGGACGAUAAUGACGGUACCUGAGGAAUAAGUCACGGCUAACUACGUGCCAGCAGCCGC
rnacentral:rRNA from 1 species